UGCGCAGGUGGGAAUGUAAGUCAGUGGUGAAAUACUGCCGCUUAACGGUAGAAUUGCCAUUGAUACUGCAUUUCUUGAGUAUGGUUGAGGUAGGCGGAAUGUGUCGUGUAGCGGUGAAAUACAUAGAUAUGACACAGAACGCCGAUUGCGAAGGCAGCUUACUAAGCCAUUACUGACACUGAGGCACGAAAGCGUGGGGAGCGAACAGGAUUAGAUACCCUGGUAGUCC
rnacentral:rRNA from 1 species